AAUUUAUUUUAGUAAUAACACACACAUAUCGUUCGGGUAAAUCGGGGUGCCAAACGGUCGGUUUACUUGGUAUGUGGAGGCUCAAC
rnacentral:sRNA from 1 species